rnacentral:sRNA from 1 species
GUGUGGUGACGUACCUUCCUGUCCCGCCACCUAAAUCGAGUGCUGCAAAGACUAGGUCUAUGCGUUCUCUCAUAGCAGGUGGGGGAGAAUCACUUCCAUCCGGUGUUCGUUCCCGUUUCUUUUGCUUGGGAGUUUGCUCCUCCUCCUGUUCGUCGGGAGGAGGGGUUUCAACUUUGGGGUUUGAACCUUUUUUAGUCUUUCCCCUAGCUGCGAUUAACU